UUCCGGUUGAUCCCGCCGGACCCGACUGCUAUUUGGGUGAGGAUAAGCCAUGCGAGUUGAAUGGGAAACCUAAAAAUCCCAUGGCAAACUGCUCAGUAACACAUGAUCAACUUACCCUAUAGAGGAAAAUAACCUCGGGAAACUGAGGAUAAUGUUCCAUAGUUGAAUCGGCUUGGAAAAGUUUUUCAAUAAAAGGGAUAAGGAAAAUGGUCCUUAUCUGCUAUAGGAUAGGAUCGUGCUCGAUUAUGGUUGUUGGUGAGGUAAAGGCUCACCAAGCCGAUAAUCGAUAGGGGCCGUGAGAGCGGGAGCCCCGAGAUGGGUACUGAGACAACGACCCAGGCCUUACGAGGCGCAGCAGGCGCGAAACCUCCGCAAUACACGAAAGUGUGACGGGGUUACCCAAAGUGUUCAUUAGAACUGUGGUAGGUGAGUAAUGUUCCCUACUAGAAAGGAGAGGGCAAGGCUGGUGCCAGCCGCCGCGGUAAAACCAGCUCUUCAAGUGGUCGGGAUAAUUAUUGGGCUUAAAGUGUCCGUAGCCGGUUUAGUAAGUUCCUGGUAAAAUCGGGUAGCUUAACUAUCUAUAUGCUAGGAAUACUGCUAUACUAGAGGGCGGGAGAGGUCUGAGGUACUACAGGGGUAGGGGUGAAAUCUUAUAAUCCUUGUAGGACCACCAGUGGCGAAGGCGUCAGACUGGAACGCGCCUGACGGUGAGGGACGAAAGCCAGGGGAGCGAACCGGAUUAGAUACCCGGGUAGUCCUGGCCGUAAACGAUGCAUACUAGGUGAUGGCACGGCCAUGAGCCGUGUCAGUGCCGUAGGGAAACCGUUAAGUGUGCCGCCUGGGAAGUACGGUCGCAAGGCUAAAACUUAAAGGAAUUGGCGGGGGAGCACCACAAAGGGUGAAGCCUGCGGUUCAAUUGGAUUCAACGCCGGGAAUCACUAGUGCGGCCG
rnacentral:rRNA from 1 species